rnacentral:rRNA from 1 species
GCCUUGCUUGGUUCUGGAUGAGUUGGCGAACGGGUGAGUAACACGUGAGUAACCUGCCCCCUUCUUCUGGAUAACCGCAUGAAAGUGUGGCUAAUACGGGAUAUUCUGGGUCUGUCGCAUGACGGGCCCGGGAAAGAUAUUGCUUCGGUGGGGGAUGGGCUCGCGGCCUAUCAGCUUGUUGGUGGGGUGAUGGCCUACCAAGGCGGUGACGGGUAGCCGGCCUGAGAGGGUGGACGGUCACACUGGGACUGAGACACGGCCCAGACUCCUACGGGAGGCAGCAGUGGGGAAUAUUGCACAAUGGGCGCAAGCCUGAUGCAGCGACGCCGCGUGAGGGAUGGAGGCCUUCGGGUUGUAAACCUCUUUCGCCAGUGAAGCAGGCCUGCUCCUUGUGGGUGGGUUGACGGUAGCUGGAUAAGAAGCGCCGGCUAACUACGUGCCAGCAGCCGCGGUAAUACGUAGGGCGCGAGCGUGUCCGGAAUUAUUGGGCGUAAAGAGCUCGUAGGCGGCUGGUCGCGUCUGUCGUGAAAUCCUCUGGCUUAACUGGGGGCUUGCGGUGGGUACGGGCCGGCUUGAGUGCGGUAGGGGAGACUGGAACUCCUGGUGUAGCGGUGGAAUGCGCAGAUAUCAGGAAGAACACCGGUGGCGAAGGCGGGUCUCUGGGCCGUUACUGACGCUGAGGAGCGAAAGCGUGGGGAGCGAACAGGAUUAGAUACCCUGGUAGUCCACGCCGUAAACGUUGGGCACUAGGUGUGGGGGGCCUUUUCCGGGUCUUCCGCGCCGUAGCUAACGCAUUAAGUGCCCCGCCUGGGGAGUACGGCCGCAAGGCUAAAACUCAAAGGAAUUGACGGGGGCCCGCACAAGCGGCGGAGCAUGCGGAUUAAUUCGAUGCAACGCGAAGAACCUUACCAAGGCUUGACAUGUGCCGGUCGGCUCCGGAGACGGGGCUUCCUCCUUGUGGGGCCGGUUCACAGGUGGUGCAUGGUUGUCGUCAGCUCGUGUCGUGAGAUGUUGGGUUAAGUCCCGCAACGAGCGCAACCCUUGUCCCGUGUUGCCAGCACGUUGUGGUGGGGACUCGCGGGAGACUGCCGGGGUCAACUCGGAGGAAGGUGGGGAUGACGUCAAAUCAUCAUGCCCCUUAUGUCUUGGGCUUCACGCAUGCUACAAUGGCCGGUACAGAGGGCUGCGAUACCGUGAGGUGGAGCGAAUCCCUUAAAGCCGGUCUCAGUUCGGAUCGGUGUCUGCAACUCGACACCGUGAAGUUGGAGUCGCUAGUAAUCGCAGAAUCAGCAACGCUGCGGUGAAUACGUUUCUCGGGCCUUGUACCCACCGCCCGUCA